AAUGAACGCUGGCGGCAUGCCUAACACAUGCAAGUCGAACGAAGGCUUCGGCCUUAGUGGCGCACGGGUGCGUAACGCGUGGGAAUCUGCCCUCAGGUUCGGAAUAACAGCGAGAAAUUGCUGCUAAUACCGGAUGAUAUCGCGAGAUCAGAGACUUAUCGCCUGAGGAUGAGCCCGCGUAGGAUUAGCUAGUUGGUGUGGUAAAGGCGCACCAAGGCGACGAUCAUUAGCUGGUCUGAGAGGAUGAUCAGCCACACUGGGACUGGGACACGGCCCAGACUCCUACGGNNGUCGGCAGUGGGGAAGAUUGGACAAUGGGCGAAGGCCUGAUCCAGCAAUGCCGCGUGAGUGAUGAAGGCCUUAGGGUUGUAAAGCUCUUUUACCCGGGAUGAUAAUGACAGUACCGGGAGAAUAAGCUCCGGCUAACUCCGUGCCAGCCGCCGCCGUAA
rnacentral:rRNA from 1 species